UACGGAGGGGGCUAGCGUUGUUCGGAAUUACUGGGCGUAAAGCGCACGUAGGCGGCUUGUAGAUUAGAGGUGAAAGCCCACGGCUUAACCCUGGAAUUGACCUUUAACGAUCUGCGAUCGCUAGGAAUCGUGGAGAGGUAAGUGGAAUUCCGAGUGUAAGAGGUGAAAUUCGUAGAUAUUCGGAAGAACACAGUGGCGAAGGACGACUUACUGGACACGUAGUUG
rnacentral:rRNA from 1 species